rnacentral:rRNA from 1 species
UACGUAGGUGGCAAGCGUUGUCCGGAUUUACUGGGCGUAAAGAGCGCGCAGGCGGUCGGCCAAGUCGAGUGUGAAAGCCCCCGGCUCAACUGGGGAGGGUCACGCGAUACUGAUCGACUCGAAGGCAGGAGAGGGAAGUGGAAUUCCCGGUGUAGUGGUGAAAUGCGUAGAUAUUGGGAGGAACACCAGUGGCGAAGGCGACUUCCUGGCCUGUUCUUGACGCUGAGGCGCGAAAGCUAGGGGAGCAAACGGG